rnacentral:rRNA from 1 species
GACGAACGCUGGCGGCAUGCCUAAUACAUGCAAGUCGAGCGGAGUUGAUGGAAAGCUUGCUUUCCUGAUACUUAGCGGCGGACGGGUGAGUAACACGUAGGCAACCUGCCCUCAAGCUUGGGACAACUACCGGAAACGGUAGCUAAUACCGAAUACUUGUUUUCUUCGCCUGAAGAGAACUGGAAAGACGGAGCAAUCUGUCACUUGGGGAUGGGCCUGCGGCGCAUUAGCUAGUUGGUGAGGUAAUGGCUCACCAAGGCGACGAUGCGUAGCCGACCUGAGAGGGUGAUCGGCCACACUGGGACUGAGACACGGCCCAGACUCCUACGGGAGGCAGCAGUAGGGAAUCUUCCGCAAUGGGCGAAAGCCUGACGGAGCAAUGCCGCGUGAGUGAUGAAGGUUUUCGGAUCGCAAAGCUCUGUUGCCAGGGAAGAACGCUUCGGAGAGUAACUGCUCUCAAGGUGACGGUACCUGAGAAGAAAGCCCCGGCUAACUACGUGCCAGCCGCCGCAGUAA